UACGUAGGGCGCAAGCGUUGUCCGGAAUUAUUGGGCGUAAAGAGCUCGUAGGCGGCUUGUCACGUCGGAGGGGAAAGCCCGAGGCUUAACCUCGGGUCUGCAUUCGAUACGGGCUAGCUAGAGUGUGGUAGGGGAGAUCGGAAUUCCUGGUGUAGCGGUGAAAUGCGCAGAUAUCAGGAGGAACACCGGUGGCGAAGGCGGAUCUCUGGGCCAUUACUGACGCUGAGGAGCGAAAGCGUGGGGAGCGAACAGG
rnacentral:rRNA from 1 species